CUGGGGUCUUCCUGAGGAGAUGCGAGCAAACUGAGGUCCCGGCACACACUUGACCACUGCAUGUCUCCCAUUCUUACAGGGGGCGGGACUCCGUGGGAUUGACAGCUGAGCAUGGCACUCUGAGAGGGUGUUCUCAGUACCCAGACAGUGAACUUUUUCUACCCAGAAUCCCUUCUUCUUUGCCAUGACACUCAGUCUACAAAAAAGAAAAAAAAUCGUUCCUUACCUGUCAGCGACGCGCUUUUCUUGGUCAUCGUGUCAGUUCCAUUUGUCUGUAAGUAAAAUAUUAUUUUCAUCACUUUAUAUUCACGAAAGCAUGCACGUACACAUUAACACCUGCUUUAAAGGCUUUCAUGGUCCAGAGUCCACUUUUCCACACAUCAGACUUUGGAACUGUGAGAGGGACACACUGCUCCCACAAGAAAAAUAGUGGGCAGUUUUGACAGGAGACUUCUGUACCUACUCAUCUUACAUUAUCUAUAUAGCAUUUGUUUACCUCUCUCCUGGCCUCAUUCUCCUUGUUUUCUUUGGACUUGCGACUUGAUCCUUUGGGUUUGAUAUGGCUAGCAGCAUUAGCAAAGAAGGCACUGCUUACAUCCCACUCUGGCUCCUGUGAGGCACAAAAAGACAAACACUGGAGUUAAAAUUGCCCUCCAGGCUUACAAGCAUGCAGAUUUUCACUAUGAAUGCUACAUCACAUACUACUUCAUACUCUGGCGCUUGAUGGCUAGUUUCUAAAAAUAAUAGGAGGAUUCAACAUGCAUAUUGCACCAGUAUAAUGUGUAAAUGUCUGAUAAAUUGUAGUAUUUUUCUCCUGCACAGUAUUGUUUAUGUAUUAAGAAGACAUUGUAGUCCUGCAGUGCCACCUUGUGGUCUGUUCCGCUUUUAUUUUGUUUAGCGUGCGUUUCUUCUUCUUCUGCGGUUUUUGUGACGCCGAACUUCCUGUUUGUCUAAACAACGUUGUGCUCACACAUCGUCGGAGAAACGGUAGAAAUUGUCUAAAAACAGUAGUUAUACAUCACAUUUAUCUGUUUGAAUUGUAUUAGGGAAAAGUUUACAUUGUGAUUUACCUCAUUAUCCUGUAUUCGUAGCUCUGAACAGCGACGUGUGUGUGUAUAUCGAGCUGGAGAGCAUGCUAGCUGAUGGCUAACACUUAAAUUAGCGCCCAUGGAAGGGCGGAAUGAGUUUUCACGGUACACCGUGCUCGUGGAGACCGAGACUAAAUCAACACCCGUUUGAAACUCUCUGUCUUGCUGAAUGAAUCCAAGGGGCCGCUACAUAAUGAACCUACCUCUUCAGUGGAUCUGGCUUUGGCCUUCUGAUGUCCUCUGAUUCCUGAAGGAGUCAUGACUGGAGCGCCAACAUACUUGUUUGAGGCGGCUGAUUUUGCCUCUUUUUUCUCUUCUUUUUGCACACUUUGUUUCUCGUCCUCAAAACCAACUUCAGCUUCUGACUCACUUUCAUCCAGUUCAGACUCUGCACCACCAUCCUCUUCUUCAUCAUCCUAAUGUUUAGGACCAUUCAAAUAUUGAAUUAUGUAA